GUUUUACAUAUCUACCACAACUGGGGCCAUCAGCCUCUCCACAUAGAACAAACUCUGGUCAGUCAGGUGAAAUCGUAAGAGAGGAAUAUGGAGGAACACAGCAUAGAAGUGAUCCACCAGACACAUAUAUCUUUGACAUGAGACGAACAAAUGAAGAACCAAAACCUC